CACUACCGGAAGCUGGCUGGAAAGACAUCAGACUUGCUCCUGCCCCUCUGGUGAGAGGAGCUUGCUCACUCCCAUAAGGAAGAGAAUCAGGGAGAAGACCAGGCUUGUGGACUAACGUCUGCAUUCAAGCCCAGCUCUGCUUGUUGGGUGAACAGAGGGAACAGGUAUUUUCUGGGCAUCUGCUGCCUGACAGGCUGUGCUGGGCCCUUUUACCUGGGAGCUCCUCUCCAAACCACGCACGGUUCCCUCAGCCAUACUGUACCAUGGCUUCUGCUGUGUGCCAGUCCAUGAAGCCUCUUCUCUCAUCUGUGUCUCUAGCCAGCCCUAAGAAGCAAGACCAAGGCCCUCAUCUUCACUCCUUCAACUGUUAGUGAUCUUAGGUAAGUGGUUCAUUUUGGGGAGAACUUCCAAUGUUCUGGUCUGUUAAGCUGGGACAAGAGUCCCAGACUAUCCUAUCUCACCAGCUGGUUUUUACAACCCAAAAUGGUGGGCCU
rnacentral:lncRNA from 1 species